AAUUUCUUAGUAUAUAUAGUAUAUUUGAUUUCCAAUCAAGGGGAUGAGGAAUUA
rnacentral:tRNA from 1 species